rnacentral:piRNA from 1 species
UUCAGACCGAAUGGGAGUCGUGU